ACGUCCCUGCCCUUUGUACACACCGCCCGUCGCUGCCCGGGACUGAGCCAUUUCGAGAAACUUGGGGACCGCUGAUUUGUAGGCUCUCGGGCCUGCUUAUUGGUGGGAACCAAUUUAAUCGCAGUGGCUUGAACCGGGCAAAAGUCGUAACAAGGUAGCUGUAGGUGAACCCGCUGCUGGAUCAUUACAUCACACCAAUGUAUGGUCAAACUUGUUAGUGUUGUUGUGAGCACUCCUCAGUGAUGUGAGCAAUGAGUUUGUUAGUGAGUGCGAGUCGUAUUUGCUCAGAUGUGUGUGUCGGCUUAUACGGCGGCUAUCCGCUUAACCACUACGUAUAGUGGUUCCACCAAGUGUCAGUGGUGGCUCUUGCCAAGGAGCGGUCAAGAAAACGGCUAACGCUGGUGUCUAUGUGUUGCUGAGCAGUCGUAUUCGUCCGUGGCUGUGAUGAGGCAAUGCGGUAGGGCCUGUAUACGGUGUGUGUAUGCAUGGCUUAAGACUUGAUGAGCCCAUUUACAGUGUGUGGGACGCCAGCAAACCCUUUUUUCCAUUUUUUUUUAUGACAAGUAUGAAAAAUUCUAGUCUUAUCGGUGGAUCACUCGGCUCGUGGGUCGAUGAAGAACGCAGCUAACUGCGAUGAAUAGUGUGAACUGCAGAAACCUUGAACACAAAAGCUUCGAAUGCACAUUGCACCAUGGGAGUCUUAUCCCUUGGUACGCCUGGUUCAGGGUCGUAAACCCUAAAACGCAUUCAAAUGCGUAUCGAAUGUGAUAGCAUCACUUGAUGUGUGCGUGAAAGUGUUGCUUUAAUUCAUUGUUGCGCGCAGUACUCGGUGUAAUGCGGGAUGGGCAUCGACUUAGUAUUUGGGAAUACUAAACAUAGUCUGGUGUUCAUCGAGCUGGUUCUCUUGAAUCGCAUUAAGCCAGACCAUGUGUGGGACGUUGUGUGCAACUUUGAUGAGUGUGUGAGCUACACUCGCUUUGUCGAUUUUUCGACCUGAACUCAGACGUGAAUACCCGCCGAACUUAAGCAUAUCAGUAAGCGGAGGAAAAGAAACUAACAAGGAUUCCCUUAGUAACGGCG
rnacentral:rRNA from 1 species